GAUGAACGCUGGCGGCGUGCCUAAUACAUGCAAGUCGAGCGAACGGACGAGAAGCUUGCUUUUCUGAUGUUAGCGGCGGACGGGUGAGUAACACGUGGAUAACCUACCUAUAAGACUGGGAUAACUUCGGGAAACCGGAGCUAAUACCGGAUAAUAUUUUGAACCGCAUGGUUCAAAAGUGAAAGACGGUCUUGCUGUCACUUAUAGAUGGAUCCGCGCUGCAUUAGCUAGUUGGUAAGGUAACGGCUUACCAAGGCAACGAUGCAUAGCCGACCUGAGAGGGUGAUCGGCCACACUGGAACUGAGACACGGUCCAGACUCCUACGGGAGGCAGCAGUAGGGAAUCUUCCGCAAUGGGCGAAAGCCUGACGGAGCAACGCCGCGUGAGUGAUGAAGGUCUUCGGAUCGUAAAACUCUGUUAUUAGGGAAGAACAUAUGUGUAAGUAACUGUGCACAUCUUGACGGUACCUAAUCAGAAAGCCACGGCUAACUGCGUGCCAGCAGCCGCGGUAAUACGUAGGUGGCAAGCGUUAUCCGGAAUUAUUGGGCGUAAAGCGCGCGUAGGCGGUUUUUUAAGUCUGAUGUGAAAGCCCACGGCUCAACCGUGGAGGGUCAUUGGAAACUGGAAAACUUGAGUGCAGAAGAGGAAAGUGGAAUUCCAUGUGUAGCGGUGAAAUGCGCAGAGAUGUGGAGGAACACCAGUGGCGAAGGCGACUUUCUGGUCUGUAACUGACGCUGAUGUGCGAAAGCGUGGGGAUCAAACAGGAUUAGAUACCCUGGUAGUCCACGCCGUAAACGAUGAGUGCUAAGUGUUAGGGGGUUUCCGCCCCUUAGUGCUGCAGCUAACGCAUUAAGCACUCCGCCUGGGGAGUACGACCGCAAGGUUGAAACUCAAAGGAAUUGACGGGGGCCCGCACAAGCGGUGGAGCAUGUGGUUUAAUUCGAAGCAACGCGAAGAACCUUACCAAAUCUUGACAUCCUUUGACAACUCUAGAGAUAGAGCCUUCCCCUUCGGGGGACAAAGUGACAGGUGGUGCAUGGUUGUCGUCAGCUCGUGUCGUGAGAUGUUGGGUUAAGUCCCGCAACGAGCGCAACCCUUAAGCUUAGUUGCCAUCAUUAAGUUGGGCACUCUAAGUUGACUGCCGGUGACAAACCGGAGGAAGGUGGGGAUGACGUCAAAUCAUCAUGCCCCUUAUGAUUUGGGCUACACACGUGCUACAAUGGACAAUACAAAGGGCAGCGAAACCGCGAGGUCAAGCAAAUCCCAUAAAGUUGUUCUCAGUUCGGAUUGUAGUCUGCAACUCGACUACAUGAAGCUGGAAUCGCUAGUAAUCGUAGAUCAGCAUGCUACGGUGAAUACGUUCCCGGGUCU
rnacentral:rRNA from 1 species